UCUCGCUUUUUAGCUCACCUGACCUGAAAGGUCAAGUGAGCUUUUCUCAUCACUUUGCGUCCGUCGUCCGUCGUCCUGCGUCCGUCGUCCGUCGUCCGUCGUCCGUCGUCCGUAAACUUUUACAAAAAUCUUCUCCUCUGAAACUACUGGGUCAAAUUUAACCAAACUUGGUCACAAUCAUCAUUGGGGUAUCUAGUUUAAAAAAUGUGUCCGGUGAUCCGGUCAACCAACCAAGAUGGCCGCCAUGGCUAAAAAUAGAACAUAGGGGUAAAAUGUAGAUUUUGGCUUAUAUCUCUGAAACCAAAGCAUUUAGAGCAAAUCUGACAUGGGGUAAAAUUGUUUAUCAGGUCAAGAUCUAUCUGCCCUGAAAUUUUCAGACCAAUCAGGCAAAUCGUUGUUUGGUUGCUGCCCCUGAAUUGGUAAUUUUAAUGAAAUUUUGUCGUUUUUGGUUAUUAUCUUGAAUAUUAUUAUAUAUAGCGAUAAACUGUAAACAGCAAUAAUGUUCAGCAAAAUAAGAUCUACAAUUAAGUCAACUUCACCAAAAUGGUCAGUUGACCCCUUAAGGAGUUAUUGCCCUUUAUAGUCAAUUUUUAACCAUUUUUCGUAAAUUUUUGUAAUCUUUUACAAAAAUCUUCUCCUCUGAAACUACUAA